GGCGGACGGGUGAGUAACGCGUAGGAAUCUGCCUCAUAGUGGGGGACAACGUGGGGAAACUCACGCUAAUACCGCAUACGCCCUACGGGGGAAAGCGGGGGAUCUUCGGACCUCGCGCUAUGAGAUGAGCCUGCGUUAGAUUAGCUAGUUGGUGGGGUAAAGGCCUACCAAGGCGACGAUCUAUAGCUGGUCUGAGAGGACGAUCAGCCACACUGGGACUGAGACACGGCCCAGACUCCUACGGGAGGCAGCAGUGGGGAAUAUUGGACAAUGGGCGAAAGCCUGAUCCAGCAAUACCGCGUGUGUGAAGAAGGCCUUAGGGUUGUAAAGCACUUUCAAUUGGGAGGAAAACCUACCGGUCAAUACCCGGUAGCUUGACAUUACCUUUAGAAGAAGCACCGGCUAACUCCGUGCCAGCAGCCGCGGUAAUACGGAGGGUGCGAGCGUUAAUCGGAAUUACUGGGCGUAAAGCGUGCGUAGGGGGUUCGUUAAGUCAGAUGUGAAAGCCCUGGGCUCAACCUGGGAACGGCAUUUGAAACUGGCGGACUAGAGUUUAGUAGAGGGGAGUGGAAUUUCAGGUGUAGCGGUGAAAUGCGUAGAUAUCUGAAGGAACACCAGUGGCGAAGGCGACUCCCUGGACUAGAACUGACGCUGAGGUACGAAAGCGUGGGUAGCAAACAGGAUUAGAUACCCUGGUAGUCCACGCUGUAAACGAUGUCGACUAGCCGUUGGUCCUAUUUACAGGAUUAGUGGCGCAGCUAACGCAUUAAGUCGACCGCCUGGGGAGUACGGCCGCAAGGUUAAAACUCAAAUGAAUUGACGGGGGCCCGCACAAGCGGUGGAGCAUGUGGUUUAAUUCGAUGCAACGCGAAGAACCCUACCUAC
rnacentral:rRNA from 1 species